rnacentral:rRNA from 1 species
UACGUAGGUGGCAAGCGUUGUCCGGAAUUACUGGGCGUAAAGGGCGUGUAGGCGGUCUUUUAAGUCAGGCGUCAAAACUAUGGGCUUAACCUAUAGACUGCGUUUGAGACUGAGAGACUUGAGGAUCGGAGAGGGCAGUGGAAUUCCCAGUGUAGCGGUGAAAUGCGUAGAUAUUGGGAGGAACACCAGUGGCGAAGGCGACUGCCUGGACGACACCUGACGCUGAGGCGCGAAAGCUAGGGGAGCAAACGGG